rnacentral:rRNA from 1 species
CGAGAUGAGUUCUCCCUGACUCCUUGAGAGUCCUGAAGGAACGUUGAAGACGACGACGUUGAUAGGCCGGGUGUGUAAGCGCAGCGAUGCGUUGAGCUAACCGGUACUAAUGAACCGUGAGACUUAACCUUACAACGCCGAAGCUGUU